rnacentral:rRNA from 1 species
CAGUCGCCGCGGUAAUACGUAGGGUGCAAGCGUUAAUCGGAAUUACUGGGCGUAAAGCGUGCGCAGGCGGUCCGCUAAGACAGAUGUGAAAUCCCCGGGCUUAACCUGGGAACUGCAUUUGUGACUGGCGGGCUAGAGUAUGGCAGAGGGGGGUAGAAUUCCACGUGUAGCAGUGAAAUGCGUAGAGAUGUGGAGGAAUACCGAUGGCGAAGGCAGCCCCCUGGGCCAAUACUGACGCUCAUGCACGAAAGCGUGGGGAGCAAACAGGAUUAGAUACCCGGGUAGUCCCUGUCUCUUAUAC